rnacentral:rRNA from 1 species
GAUGAACGCUGGCGGCGUGCCUAAUACAUGCAAGUCGAGCGAACGGACGAGAAGCUUGCUUCUCUGAUGUUAGCGGCGGACGGGUGAGUAACACGUGGAUAACCUACCUAUAAGACUGGGAUAACUUCGGGAAACCGUAGCUAAUACCGGAUAAUAUUUUGAACCGCAUGGUUCAAAAGUGAAAGACGUUCUUGCUGUCACUUAUAGAUGUAUCCGCGCUGCAUUAGCUAGUUGGUAAGGUAACGGCUUACCAAGGCAACGAUGCAUAGCCGACCUGAGAGGGUGAUCGGCCACACUGGAACUGAGACACGGUCCAGACUCCUACGGGAGGCAGCAGUAGGGAAUCUUCCGCAAUGGGCGAAAGCCUGACGGAGCAACGCCGCGUGAGUGAUGAAGGUCUUCGGAUCGUAAAACUCUGUUAUUAGGGAAGAACAUAUGUGUAAGUAACUGUGCACAUCUUGACGGUACCUAAUCAGAAAGCCACGGCUAACUACGUG